rnacentral:rRNA from 3 species
GACAAAUGCCCUGCUUCCAGGAAAAGCCUCUAAGCAUCAGGUAACAUCAAAUCGUACCCCAAACCGACACAGGUGGUCAGGUAGAGAAUACCAAGGCGCUUGAGAGAACUCGGGUGAAGGAACUAGGCAAAAUGGUGCCGUAACUUCGGGAGAAGGCACGCUGAUAUGUAGGUGAAGCGACUUGCUCGUGGAGCUGAAAUCAGUCGAAGAUACCAGCUGGCUGCAACUGUUUAUUAAAAACACAGCACUGUGCAAACACGAAAGUGGACGUAUACGGUGUGACGCCUGCCCGGUGCCGGAAGGUUAAUUGAUGGGGUUAGCGGUAACGCGAAGCUCUUGAUCGAAGCCCCGGUAAACGGCGGCCGUAACUAUAACGGUCCUAAGGUAGCGAAAUUCCUUGUCGGGUAAGUUCCGACCUGCACGAAUGGCGUAAUGAUGGCCAGGCUGUCUCCACCCGAGACUCAGUGAAAUUGAACUCGCUGUGAAGAUGCAGUGUACCCGCGGCAAGACGGAAAGACCCCGUGAACCUUUACUAUAGCUUGACACUGAACAUUGAGCCUUGAUGUGUAGGAUAGGUGGGAGGCUUUGAAGUGUGGACGCCAGUCUGCAUGGAGCCGACCUUGAAAUACCACCCUUUAAUGUUUGAUGUUCUAACGUUGGCCCCUAAUCGGGGUUGCGGACAGUGUCUGGUGGGUAGUUUGACUGGGGCGGUCUCCUCCUAAAGAGUAACGGAGGAGCACGAAGGUUGGCUAAUCCUGGUCGGACAUCAGGAGGUUAGUGCAAUGGCAUAAGCCAGCUUGACUGCGAGCGUGACGGCGCGAGCAGGUGCGAAAGCAGGUCAUAGUGAUCCGGUGGUUCUGAAUGGAAGGGCCAUCGCUCAACGGAUAAAAGGUACUCCGGGGAUAACAGGCUGAUACCGCCCAAGAGUUCAUAUCGACGGCGGUGUUUGGCACCUCGAUGUCGGCUCAUCACAUCCUGGGGCUGAAGUAGGUCCCAAGGGUAUGGCUGUUCGCCAUUUAAAGUGGUACGCGAGCUGGGUUUAGAACGUCGUGAGACAGUUCGGUCCCUAUCUGCCGUGGGCGCUGGAGAACUGAGGGGGGCUGCUCCUAGUACGAGAGGACCGGAGUGGACGCAUCACUGGUGUUCGGGUUGUCAUGCCAAUGGCACUGCCCGGUAGCUAAAUGCGGAAGAGAUAAGUGCUGAAAGCAUCUAAGCACGAAACUUGCCCCGAGAUGAGUUCUCCCUGAGACUUAGAGUCUCCUGAAGGAACGUUGAAGACGACGACGUUGAUAGGCCGGGUGUGUAAGCGCAGCGAUGCGUUGAGCUAACCGGUACUAAUGAACCGUGAGGCUUAACCUU